GGGGGACAGGGCUGGCACCGGUGCCCGGCGCGGUGACGGUGACGACACGGUGACACCCGGCGGGGUGUUGUCCCUCCCCCUGGUGGUGCCCGGGGGGGGCGGUGGUGGCAGUCACACGGCGGGUGACACCAGCACGGUGACAGUGUCCUGGUGUGGUGGUUGUGGUGGUGCCCAGCGUGCGGUUGUGCCAGCUCACGGCGGUUGUGCCCGGCGCAGGGGUUGUGCCCCGGCUGUAGCCGCGUGGCACGGCGGUGUCUGGCUCGGCAACACCCCCCCUGUGCCGGUGAUGCCCGUCCCGGUGGCACCCAGUCCGGUGGGGAUGCUCAUCCCAGUGGUACCCAGUCCGAUGGUGGUGGCCUCCCCGGUGACACCCAGUCCGGUGGUGAUGCCCAUCCCGGUGGUACCGGGUCCGGUGGUGAUGCUGGGCAUGAUGGUAUCCAGUCCGGUGGUGAUGCUGGGUACCCACAUGUUCAGCCUGGCACAUGCGUGUGCUCUCUCCAUUCCCAGCCUGGCACACAUGUGUGCUCCCUCCCAUGCCCAGCCUGGCACACCUGUGUGCUCCCCCUCAUGCCUGGCACGCAUGUGUGCUCCCCAUCCAUAUGUGACUGGCACACGCAUGUGCUCUCCUCAUACCCAGCCUGGCACACACAUGUUCUCUCUCCAUUCCCAGCUUGGCACACACGUGUGCUCCCCAUCAUGCCUGGCACACGUGUGUGCUCCCCUCAUACCCAGCCUGGCACACCUGUGUGCUCCCCCUCGUGCCUGGCACACGUGUGUGCUCCCCAUCCAUACCCGACUGGCACAUGUGUGUGCUCCCCUCUGUGCCCAGCAUGGCACACGCGUGUGUCCCUCCCAUGCCCAGCUUGGUGCACACGUGUGCUCCCUCUCGUGCCUGGCACAUGCGUGUGCCGUCUCCCUUCCCAGCCUGGCACACAUGUGUGUGCUCCCCUCUGUGCCCAGCAUGGCACACGCGUGUGUCCCAAGUCUGGUGGUGAUUCCAGACUGGGUGACAACCAGUUUGGUGGUGAUGCCCAUCCCAGCGGUCCCCAGUCUGGUGGUGAUGCUGGGCAUGAUGGUACCCAGUCCGGUGGCAAUUCCAGACCGGGUGACACCCAGUUUGGUGGUGACAUCCAUCCCGAUUGUCCCCAGUCUGGUGGUACCCAAUGCCCUCUCCCUUCCCAGCCUGGCACACGUGUGUGCUCUCUCCAUUCCCAGCCUGGCACACGUGUGUGCUCCCCCUCAUGCCUGGCACACACGUGUGCUCUGCCUCGUUCCUGGCACAUGCGUGUGCCCUCUCCCUUUGUUGUGCCCCGGCUGUAGCCGCGUGGCACGGCGGUGUCUGGCUCGGCAACACCCCCCCUGUGCCGGUGAUGCCCGUCCCGGUGGCACCCAGUCCGGUGGGGAUGCUCAUCCCAGUGGUACCCAGUCCGAUGGUGGUGGCCUCCCCGGUGACACCCAGUCCGGUGGUGAUGCCCAUCCCGGUGGUACCGGGUCCGGUGGUGAUGCUGGGCAUGAUGGUAUCCAGUCCGGUGGUGAUGCUGGGUACCCAAGUCUGGUGGUGAUUCCAGACUGGGUGACAACCAGUUUGGUGGUGAUGCUGGGCAUGAUGGUACCCAGUCCGGUGGCAAUUCCAGACCGGGUGACACCCAGUUUGGUGGUGACAUCCAUCCCGAUUGUCCCCAGUCUGGUGGUACCCAAUCCGGUGGUGAUGCUGGGCAUGAUGGUACCAGUCUGGUGGUGAUUCCAGACUGGGUGACACCCAGUUUGGUGGUGAUGCUGGGUACCCAGUCCAGUGGUGAUUCCAGACUGGGUGACACCCAGUCCGGUGGUGAUGCUGGGCAUGGUGGUACCAGUCCAGUGGUGGUGACAGGCACGGUGACACCCAGUUUGAUGGUGAUUCCAGGCACGGUGACACUCAGUUUGGUGGUGAUGCCCAUCCCAGUGGUACCCAGUCCGGUGGUGAUGCUGGGUAUGGUGGUACUGAGGCCGAUGGUGAUGCCAGGCAUGAUGGUACCCAGUCGGGUGGUGAUUCCAGGCACGGUGACACCCAGUCCAGUGGUGAUGCUGGGCUUGAUGGUACCAGUCUGGUGGUGAUUCCAGGCAUAGUGACACCCAGUUUGGUAGUCCCCAGUCUUGUGGUACCCAGUCCGGUGGUGAUGCUGGGCAUGAUGGUACCCAGUUUGGUCGUGGUGACAGGCACAGUGACACCCAGUUUGGUGGCGAUUCCAGGCACGGUGACACCCAGUCCGGUGGUGAUGCUGGGUACCCAGUCGGGUGGUGAUUCCAGACUGGGUGACCCCCAGUCCGGUGGUGAUGCCCAUCCUGUGGUCCCCAGUCCGGUGGUGAUGCUGGGCACGAUGGUACCAGUCCAGUGGUGGUGACAGGCAUGGUGGUACCCAGUCGGGUGGUGAUUCCAGACUGGGUGACACCCAGUCGGGUGGUGAUGCCCAUCCCAGUGGUACCCAGUCUGGUGGUGAUGCUGGGCAUGGUGGUACCCAGUCCGGUGGUGGUGACGGGCACGGUGACACCCAGUUUGGUGGUGAUGCCCAUCCCAGUGGUACCCAGUCCGAUGGUGAUGCUGGGCAUGGUGGUAUCCAGUUGGGUGGUGAUUCCAGACUGGGUAACACCCAGCUCGGUGGUGAUGCCCAUCCUGUGGUACCCAGUUGGGUGGUGAUGCUGGGCAUGGUGGUACCCCGUGAUGCUGGGCAUGAUGGUACUGAGGCUGGUGGUGAUGCUGGGCA
rnacentral:lncRNA from 1 species